CAAAUUAGACCCACAUGGUCUUUUUCUUGAAGACUCCGCCGCCUUAAACGAUCACCUUCGAAGCUUUGUUUCUUUUCAUGUUACCGGCCACCAAAACUGGAGACGUUACGGAAUGAGGAUCAAUCGAAACGACGUCUUAAAUGCUGUCAUUAACAAUAGCUCCACCAUUACUUCCUUUCUGUGAAUCAUGGAGAAUCCUCAGCUAUAAAAAGGAGUCAAAAGAGAACUGACCUACGUGAAGAAGCUUCGGCAAUAUAUUGUCUACAGGAGAUGACAAUAAUCUGUACAUGAAGCUAAGCGUUAGAAUCACAACCCAAAUACCCAAAACCGAAUCAGUAGGACAUUUUGUACAAACUUAACCAAAAAUUCGAACAUAUUUUACAAAAUGAUAUUGGAAAAUAUUAAGGAGAACUUAUAGUCGGCUUUCUUAAAUUCACCAGUAUACAUUGAUUGGUGGUGCAAAAUGGUUCAUUUUUUUUGUCGUCAAAUGGUUCAUAUCAUGGUCUUAUAGCAAAUGAGUAACAGAGUAAGUUAUAAUUUUUUAAGAAAAUUACACUUUUCGACUCUUAUACCCAAUAAUGAGGGUCUCGCUAUUAUAACUCUGGUCACCAUGUUUAAAAUGAGAAUUGAGUGUUUCGAGUUGUUCUUAUUAUACUUUGUCUAAACAUUAAUCAUUCAUCGCCAUUACAUCUAUCUUAUUAAAACAGAA